UACGUAGGCAGCAAGCGUUGUUCGGAAUUACUGGGCGUAAAGAGUGUGUAGGCGGUUCUCCAAGUCUGGUGUGAAAUCUCCCGGCCUAACUGGGAGGGUGCAUUAGAAACUGGAAUGCUAGAGGAUGGGAGAGGUAAGCGGAAUUCCUGGUGUAGCGGUGAAAUGCGUAGAUAUCAGGAGGAACACCUGUGGUGUAGACAGCUUACUGGACCAUUUCUGACGCUGAGACACGAAAGCGUGGGUAGCAAACAGG
rnacentral:rRNA from 1 species